UGGGAAGUUCUUUGUCUUGGGGGCACUCCCUGACCUCACACUAUGCAUCUACUCUUUUGGCUAAUUCCGACUUAUAAACUUUUGCUCUAAUAAAACUGUAAUCUGGGGGGGAAAAAAGCUAAACAUGAAAGAAUAAAUCCUCUAUAAUUUUAUUUGAAUAAAGUUCCAGAACAGACAAAAGUAAUCUGGAGUGAUAGAAAUCAGAUCAGUUGUUGCUUGAGUUAGGAGAAGCAGGGAAGCAGAUGGGUGCAGUCAGACAUAUUAUCUGCAAACAGCAGGAAGUACUUUCAAGGGAGAUGGGUGAUACUCCAAAAAACUCCUAACGUCUGAGUCCUGAUCACCAGAAGUGCUUGGUUUGAUUACAGACCAUGUAGAUGGCAAGACAUUCCCACCACUGCAAGUUGCUGGCUCCUUUUGUACCACUCUCCAGAGCCAUCUCAUCACAAACUUGGCAGCACUGAACUUAUCAGAUGAAACAUCCACAAGAAUCCUUGCCAGACUACCACUGUAAGGUCUUCAUCAGCUACUUUCCAAGGGAAACCAAUUCUCUGGAAGAUAUUGGCUUCCCUUUACCUUCCACCCAGAGGGGAAGCAGCCUAAGGCUCCCACCAGAGGCAGAUGAGACUUCCAGGUAUCAGAGCCAUGAACCUUCAGACAUCAGAAUUGUGAGG